rnacentral:rRNA from 1 species
UACGGGGGGAGCAAGCGUUGUUCGGAUUUACUGGGCGUAAAGGGCGCGUAGGCGGUCGUGACAAGUCACUUGUGAAAUCUCCGGGCUUAACUCGGAACGGUCAAGUGAUACUGUCGGACUAGAGUACAGAAGGGGCAACUGGAAUUCUCGGUGUAGCGGUGAAAUGCGUAGAUAUCGAGAGGAACACCUGAGGCGAAGGCGGGUUGCUGGGCUGAUACUGACGCUGAGGCGCGAAAGCCAGGGGAGCGAACGGG